UGUUGAGCCUACCAGGCUUAGCUGAGGUAAGCUAAUGCUAUUAGCUAAAGUUACUGUGUUGACCUGGCAUCAGUAAGUUACAAACAAAAGCAUGGCAGAAUAACGGGAACUUAUCCAUCUUUCCAUAAUGUAGUCAGACACUUCUAAUAACAAUCAGUCAGUCAGU